rnacentral:tRNA from 1 species
UUUUCAGUAGCUCAGAGGUAGAGCGAGUGGCUGUUAACCACCAGGACGAUGGUUCAAAUCCAUCCUGAAAAG